AUUAAACGCUGGCGGCAUGCCUUACACAUGCAAGUCGAACGGCAGCACGGGGGCAACCCUGGUGGCGAGUGGCGAACGGGUGAGUAAAGCAUCGGAACGUGCCCUGGAGUGGGGGAUAACGUAGCGAAAGUUACGCUAAUACCGCAUAUUCUGUGAGCAGGAAAGCAGGGGAUCGCAAGACCUUGCGCUCUGGGAGCGGCCGAUGUCGGAUUAGCUAGUUGGUGGGGUAAAGGCCUACCAAGGCGACGAUCCGUAGCGGGUCUGAGAGGAUGAUCCGCUACACUGGGACUGAGACACGGCCCAGACUCCUACGGGAGGCAGCAGUGGGGAAUUUUGGACAAUGGGCGAAAGCCUGAUCCAGCCAUGCCGCGUGAGUGAAGAAGGCC
rnacentral:rRNA from 1 species